CAAUAGCGUAUAUUAAAAUUGUUGCAGUUAAAAAGCUCGUAGUUGGAUUUCUGGUAGGAGUGACCGUUCCGAACUUGAUUGUUCGUGUAUUGUGGUUUCUCCAGCCAUCCUUGUGGAGAACUUUUCUUGCAUUAAUUUGUAGGGAUUGGGACCCGCAUCGUUUACUGUGAAAAAAUUAGAGUGUUUAAAGCAGGCAAUCGCUUGAAUACAUUAGCAUGGAAUAAUAAGAUAGGACUUUGGUACUAUUUUGUUGGUUUGCAUACCAAAUUAAUGAUCAACAGGAACAGUUUGAGGAUAUUCGUAUGAACAUGUCAGAGGUGAAAUUCUUGGAUUUUGAUCAGACGAACUACUGCGAAAGCAUUUAUCAAGGAUGUUUUCAUUAA
rnacentral:rRNA from 1 species